GUGUGUGUGUGUGUGUGUGUGAGAGAGAGAGAGAGAGAGAGAGAGAGAGAGAGAGAUCACAGUUCUGCAGCCCUGAUAAAAGGAUGAGUUUGUCCCUCCCCACUUCAUCUCUCUGGUGUGAUCUCUCAUCUCCACCUUCUGCCAUGGGUUGAUGCAGUAAGAGGACUCGCACCAGAAGCUGCCCCUUGACCUCAUACUUCCCCGUUCUUCUUAAAGGUUCCAUUAUCAGGCUAUCUGUUAGCACACACAGGACUAAGACAGCUGCCAGUCUCUAGCAUGAACCUGUGUUGGGAGGUCCCGAGUGCUGACUGUCCAGGCAACCUCUCAACGCUGCCUUCCUCCAUGACUCUGUCUUGCUCACUCCCUUCCUGCCACACCACUUGCUUUUCUCCUGCUUCUCUUUCAGCACUGGGCUUGCUGGGUCAAGUGCAUCCAGAAUAUUCUGAUCUCCUUUUCUCAUGGCAUUUGAGUAGUGCUGUGGAUAUUCCCACAGAAAGGCUCCAAGGGCUCCCUCACAGGGCAGAAGUUGGCUAAGAAAGGCUGGAUGCUGGGCAACCUCAGGUCAAAAUGACAGCUGAGAAAUCACACCUGAACCCAGAGAUCCCAUUCAACAGGUGUAUGAGGUCACGGGGGAUUGAAGGAUUGAAGACAUUUCACUUAGAAAUAACACAGAUCUAUCUGGUGUGCCUCGAGGGACAGAAGAGGUGGGGGAAGUUACUAUGGAGAUCAUCUCAGGG
rnacentral:lncRNA from 1 species